rnacentral:rRNA from 1 species
CAGCCGCCGCGGGAAUACGAAGGGUGCGAGCGUUACCCGGAUUUACUGGGCGUAAAGGGCGUGUAGGCGGCCUGGGGCGUCCCAUGUGAAAGGCCACGGCUCAACCGUGGAGGAGCGUGGGAUACGCUCAGGCUAGAGGGUGGGAGAGGGUGGUGGAAUUCCCGGAGUAGCGGUGAAAUGCGCAGAUACCGGGAGGAACGCCGAUGGCGAAGGCAGCCACCUGGUCCACUUCUGACGCUGAGGCGCGAAAGCGUGGGGAGCAAACCGGAUUAGAUACCCCUGUAGUCCCUGUCUCUUAUAC